rnacentral:tRNA from 1 species
GCCUGUAUAGUUUAGUUUUAAGAACGUUGGUCUUGUAAACCAUUGGUGACGGUAGUCUACGGGCA